UCAACUGUCGGAGCUGACCAGCUUUAGAGCCAGGGAUCCUCUUUCUCUAUCUUCUGGCAGUACUUCACCUUUUCUGCCUCCUCCCCAUCCUCUUGUUUCUGAACCACCUUGGGUGUGGCCUGUAUAGCUGGUUCCUAUACCAGCCUGAGUGCCUCUGGCUCCAUAGAUGCCUUCUCCUCCUAACCUUGCUAUAAAGGAACAAAGAGCUCCUUGGACUUACACUACCCACUCCGGAUUUCCCCACCGGUGCCCCCAGAUUAAGGAAACUUUCUCCUAAGAUACCUAUGACUUAUAGAAAUGUGAUAAAAUAUUUCUUGAACAAAUUGAAGCAUUUAACUUUUCUCUCUACCUGAACCCUCUGAAAUUCAGAAAGUCUCAAGGGAACCAGCCUGCCCAUUAUAGGAGCGGUAACAACGUGCUAAGCAUCACAUCAAUGUUAUCUACGGAAUUCUCACUACAACCCUAUGAGAUUUAAUUCAUUGUUGCCAUUUUACUGAUGAGCAAAAAGAAGGUCAUGUUUCAGCCAAGGUCACACAGUGUCACACUUACACCCACAUCAGUCUGCUUUGCCAGAUUUCCCACAUUCUCCUAUGGAGUUGGAUACGGUUAUUAACACCCUAUGCAAAAAACAAAAACAAAAAACAAAACAAAACAAAACAAAACACCCUAUGCUGGAGGAGUGGUCUUGUUUAACACCAAUUCCCAGGUAAAA